rnacentral:rRNA from 1 species
AGUAGCUUAAUUGUGACUUGUUUGAAGGAUUGGAUGAAAUAUAAACUGUCUCUUAAUUAUAUUUAGAAUUUAAUUUUUUAAUUAAAAAGUUAAAAUGAAUUAAAAAGACGAGAAGACCCUAUAGAGUUUUAUAAUUAAAUUAAUUGAGAUUUUUUGUAAGAUUAAAAUUAAAAUUAAUUUAUUUAUUUUGUUGGGGUGACAGAAAAAUAUGGARAACUUUUUUUAUAWUAUUACAUAAAUAAGUGUUAAAUGAUCCAAUAUUAUUGAUUAUAAGAAAAAAUUACCUUAGGGAUAACAGCGUAAUUUUUUUUUUUAGUUCAUAUAAAAAAAAAAGUUUGCGACCUCGAUGUUGGAUUAAGAUAAAAUUUAAAUGC